rnacentral:tRNA from 1 species
GGGCGCGUAGCUCAGGGGGAGAGCGCUACAUUGACACUGUAGAGGUCAUAGGUUCGAAACCUAUCGUGCCCACCA